ensembl:antisense Far2os2 fatty acyl CoA reductase 2, opposite strand 2
GACCUUCCUGGUCGCUGCUGGGCGCCCAGCUGAGGCCUCUGCCAGGGCGGGAGGAGUGCCGGGGCCUCGGACGCACAGGCCCCGAGGAUGGCAUCGCCUGGGCUUCGGGAGCGAUCACUUCCUAUUGCACUGGCAAAAUGCACUCCAGAUCCCAUUUAUCCAUCUCUUCCGCACCACACGCCAGGUGGAUGGAAGCUGCAGAGGAGCUCGGCAGGGAUGCGCCAGCUCAAGGGCUUUUAAACAGUCAAGGGGUGGCAGUGAGAAACACACUAAAGAACUUCUGUGAUAUUCUGGUGGCUUCUUGCUGCUUGAGUGGACUUGGGCUGAUUGGCAGAGCCUUGUGGUUUCUUCUGGAUUGAACUGUCAUUGCUGAUUCAUGAAUGGUUUUGGUGAGUAUGUGUCGCUGCGUGUCUGUGCAGUACCUGCAGAGGCCACAGGAGGAUAUGGCUUCUCCCUGGAGACCAAGUUCCAGGUGGUUGUGAAUCACCUGACAUGGGCGAUGGGAACUGAACUCGAGUCCUUUGCUCCUAACCACCAGGGUGUCUUUCCAGUCCCUAGAGUGAACCUGUCUUCAUAAGGAUGACUAAUACAGGAUGAAUUUUACCAGAAAGUGUUUCUAUUAUGAUUAUGAGCGCAACUGCUCUCCCUAAUUUUAAUCCCUCUGUAGUCUAUUUUUAGAUCAUGCAAUUAACUGAAAGGAAUUGGUUUUUUUCUAUCAAAAGUACUCUUAUUAGAUAAGUAGACUGAAAUCAUCUAAAAAAAUAAGAAAAGACAGUAAAAUGUAAUUGGUAGAAAUAGCAAUGCCACAACAGUUGGCUAGGGAGCUUUAGAUGUCAGGACAAAUGUAACACAAACCAAGCACUUUUAAGGAAUGAAGUGUUAAAUACAAAACUAUAAACUUUGUAGAAGGCAUCAGAAAAACAUUCCGGGUGGUCUUUGGUUUGUUUAUAACUGCUUAGGCUCUGAGAAGCAUACUGGGU